rnacentral:rRNA from 1 species
GACGAACGCUGGCGGCGUGCCUAAUACAUGCAAGUAGAACGCUGAAGAGAGGAGCUUGCUCUUCUUGGAUGAGUUGCGGACGGGUGAGUAACGCGUAGGUAACCUGCCUGGUAGCGGGGGAUAACUAUGGGAAACGAUAGCUAAUACCGCAUAAAAUGGAUUAUCGCAUGAUAAUACAGUGAAAGAUGCAAUUGCAUCACUACCUGAAUGAACCGCGUUCUAUUAAGUAGGUGGUGGGGUUAACGCCCACCCAAGCGAAGGUACAGAGCCGACCUGGGGGGGUGGUCGGCCCACCUGGGACUGGGACACGGCCCAGACUUCUUCGGGAGGCAGCAGUAGGGAAUCUUCCGCCAUGGGCGGAAGUCUGACCGAGCAACGCCGCGUGAGUGGAGAAGGUUUUCGGAUCGUAAAGCUCUGUUGUAUGGGGAGAACGAGUGUGGGAGUUGAAUGUUCACGCUGUGACGGUACCUUACCAGAAAGGGACGGCUAACUACGUG